AUUGAACGCUGGCGGCAUGCCUUACACAUGCAAGUCGAACGGUAACAGGUCUCCGGAUGCUGACGAGUGGCGAACGGGUGAGUAACGCAUCGGAACGUGCCCAGUAGUGGGGGAUAGCCCGGCGAAGGCCGGAUUAAUACCGCAUACGACCUGAGGGUGAAAGGGGGGGAUCGCAAGACCUCUCGCUAUUGGAGCGGCCGAUGUCAGAUUAGCUAGUUGGUGGGGUAAAGGCCUACCAAAGCAACGAUCUGUAGUUGGUCUGAGAGGACGACCAGCCACACUGGGACUGAGACACGGCCCAGACUCCUACGGGAGGCAGCAGUGGGGAAUUUUGGACAAUGGGCGCAAGCCUGAUCCAGCAAUGCCGCGUGCAGGAAGAAGGCCUUCGGGUUGUAAACUGCUUUUGUCAGGGAAGAAAUCUUCUGGGUUAAUACCUCGGGAGGAUGACGGUACCUGAAGAAUAAGCACCGGCUAACUACGUGCCAGCCGCCGCCGUAACAC
rnacentral:rRNA from 1 species